rnacentral:rRNA from 1 species
GGCUCAGAACGAACGCUGGCGGCGUGCUUAACACAUGCAAGUCGAACGGAUUCAUGUAGCAAUACUGAUGUAAAGUGGCGGACGGGUGAGUAACACGUAGGUAACCUACCUUUGAGCGGGGGACAACCCAGGGAAACUUGGGCUAAUACCCCAUAAGACCACGGGGUGUGAAUUUUGUGGUAAAAGCUGCACUGUUAGCGAUACGCUCAUAGACGGGCCUGCGGCCUAUCAGGUAGUUGGUGAGGUAACGGCCCACCAAGCCAAAGACGGGUAGCCGGGCUGAGAGGUUGAACGGCCACACUGGAACUGAGACACGGUCCAGACUCCUACGGGAGGCAGCAGUGGGGAAUAUUGCACAAUGGGGGAAACCCUGAUGCAGCGACGCCGCGUGGAGGAUGAAGGUCUUCGGGUUGUAAACUCCUUUUAUUGGGAAAGAUGAAGUGGGUAACCACUUUGACGGUACCCAAUGAAUAAGCCACGGCUAACUCUGUGCCAGCAGCCGCGGUAAGACAGAGGUGGCGAGCGUUGUUCGGAAUUACUGGGCUUAAAGGGCGAGUAGGCGGUGGGACAAGUCUGAUGUGGAAUCUUAGGGCUUAACCCUAAAACUGCAUUAGAAACUGUUUUACUUGAGUCAGUGAGGGGAGGGCGGAAUUCCCGGUGUAGCGGUGAAAUGCGUAGAUA